GACGAAACUGUAGUUGUUGUUGUCGGAGACACAGUAGCAGAAAAUCUACAGACACCAACGAUUUCUACUCCACCAGAUGAGUCUGAAGGUGUACGGAUACAGGAUGAAGUUGAAAUGGUAUCCCCCUCUGAAAGAGACAGAAAUGUUGAAGAGGCAGGGGAAAUGCCAUCAAUACCAAGCGAUAGUGUCGGUGGCGCGCGAAGGCGCAUUUGUUUCGAUUCCCCCAGUCAGCGCAGGGGCUCAUCCGUGCCUACACCGACACAAAGACCCACUUCUAGCUCGCAACAACGCCGCCGCACAGCAAUGACGUCACCUCGCGGAGGGGUAUCUGCGGGACGCCGACGUCUUCUGCGACGGUCUCCCCCGUCACAGCGUCGCUCCGAGAUGGCAAGCCUUAUCCAAAGGUUUAUAGCCAUCGAAGAGCAACGUGUUGAGGCAGAGCUUACCUCAGCUCGGUCUCAGGAGGCCUUAGCACGGGCGCGGGAAGCCGAUGCACAAGGUCCCAUCAUAAUGGCGGCAGCAAUAGAUCGCCUCGGUGACAUUAUACGCGACGUCACACAGCAAUCACUUAAAGCAAUUCUACAUUUUAGAGCUCC
rnacentral:misc_RNA from 1 species